CAACCUUCAAGCUCUGCUUGGUAUUGGGCCACGCCAGCGAUGGCGAGCCUUAAAAUCAGUGGCGGUGCCGCUGGGCUCUGAGCGUAGUAACUACUCCUCGCUACUGGGUCCCGGUGGAUGCUUGCCAUCAACCCCCAAUUUUUCUAU
rnacentral:misc_RNA from 1 species